rnacentral:rRNA from 1 species
AUACGGAGGGUGCAAGCGUUACUCGGAAUCACUGGGCGUAAAGCGCGCGCAGGCGGCUUGAUAAGUUGGAUGUGAAAGCCUACGGCUCAACCGUAGAACUGCAUCCAAAACUGUCAAGCUAGAGUCUGGGAGGGGAAGAUGGAAUUAGUUGUGUAGGGGUAAAAUCCGUAGAGAUAACUAGGAAUACCAAAAGCGAAGGCGAUCUUCUGGAACAGUACUGACGCUGAGGCGCGAAAGCGCGGGGAGCAAACAGGAUUAGAAACCCCAGUAGUCC